rnacentral:rRNA from 1 species
AGACACGGUCCAGACUCCUACGGGAGGCAGCAGUGGGGAAUAUUGCACAAUGGAGGAAACUCUGAUGCAGCAACGCCGCGUGGAGGAUGACGCAUUUCGGUGUGUAAACUCCUUUUAUAUGGGAAGAAAAAAGGGUACGUGUACCCUACUGACGGUACCGUAAGAAUAAGGACCGGCUAACUCCGUGCCAGCAGCCGCGGUAAUACGGAGGGUCCGAGCGUUAUCCGGAAUUAUUGGGUUUAAAGGGUCCGUAGGCGGGCCAUUAAGUCAGGGGUGAAAGUCUGCGGCUCAACCGUAGAAUUGCCUUUGAUACUGGUGGUCUUGAGUUAUGGUGAAGUGGCUGGAAUAUGUAGUGUAGCGGUGAAAUGCAUAGAUAUUACAUAGAACACCGAUUGCGAAGGCAGGUCACUAACCAUAUACUGACGCUGAUGGACGAAAGCGUGGGGAGCGAACAGGAUUAGAUACCCUGGUAGUCCACGCAGUAAACG